rnacentral:tRNA from 1 species
GCCGGGGUGCCCGAGUGGACUAAGGGGUGGGCCUUGAGAGCCCAUGCCCCUUCGGGGGCUCCCGGGUUCGAAUCCCGGCCCCGGCGCCA